rnacentral:rRNA from 1 species
GACGAACGCUGGCGGCGUGCUUAACACAUGCAAGUCGAACGGAAAGGCCCUGCUUUUGUGGGGUGCUCGAGUGGCGAACGGGUGAGUAACACGUGAGUAACCUGCCCUUGACUUUGGGAUAACUUCAGGAAACUGGGGCUAAUACCGGAUAGGAGCUCCUGCUGCAUGGUGGGGGUUGGAAAGUUUCGGCGGUUGGGGAUGGACUCGCGGCUUAUCAGCUUGUUGGUGGGGUAGUGGCUUACCAAGGCUUUGACGGGUAGCCGGCCUGAGAGGGUGACCGGGCUCAUGGGUCCUACGGGAGGGACCAGACUGCUACGGGAGGCAGCAGGGGGGAAUCUUGCCCAGUGGGGGCGAGCCUGUUGCGGAAGCGCCGCGUGCGGGAUGACGGCCUUCGGGUUGUAAACCGCUGUCGCCUGUGACGAAGCGUGAGUGACGGUAAUGGGUAAAGAAGCACCGGCUAACUACGUG